rnacentral:rRNA from 1 species
ACGGAAGGCAGCAGUGUGGAAUAUUGGUCAAUGGGCGGAAGCCUGAACCAGCCAUGCCGCGUGCAGGACUACGGCCCUACGGGUCUUAAACUUCUUUUGCAAGGGGAUAAAGUGGGGCACGCGUGCCCCUUUGCAGGUACCUUGCGAAUAAGGAUCGGCUAACUCCGUGCCAGCAGCCGCGGUAAUACGGAGGAUUCGAGCGUUAUCCGGAUUUAUUGGGUUUAAAGGGUGCGUAGGCGGGCUGUUAAGUCAGCGGUGAAACCCCCGGGCUCAACCCGGGGACUGCCAUUGAAACUGGCGGCCUUGAGUACGUUGGGAGUGCGCGGAAUGUGUGGUGUAGCGGUGAAAUGCAUAGAUAUCACACAGAACACCGAUCGCGUAGGCAGCGCACUACGCCGCAACUGACGCUGAGGCACGAAGGCGCGGGGAUCGAACAGGAUUAGAUACCCUGGUA